CCUACGGGGGGCAGCAGUGGGGAAUAUUGCACAAUGGGGGAAACCCUGAUGCAGCGACGCCGCGUGAGUGAAGAAGUAAUUCGUGAUGUAAAGCUCUAUCAGCAGGGAAGAAAAUGACGGUACCUGAGUAAGAAGCCCCGGCUAACUACGUGCCAGCAGCCGCGGUAAUACGUAGGGGGCAAGCGUUAUCCGGAUUUACUGGGUGUAAGGGGAGCGUAGACGGCAGUGCAAGUCUGGAGUGAAAGGCGGGGGCUCAACCCCCGGACUGCUCUGGAGACUGUACGGCUGGAGUGCAGGAGAGGUAAGUGGAAUUCCGAGUGUAGCGGUGAAAUGCGUAGAUAUUAGGAGGAACACCAGUGGCGAAGGCGGCUUACUGGACUGUAACUGACGUUGAGGCUCGAAAGCGUGGGGAGCAAACAGGAUUAGAUACCCGUGUAGUC
rnacentral:rRNA from 1 species